rnacentral:rRNA from 1 species
CCUACGGGUGGCAGCAGUGGGGAAUAUUGCACAAUGGGGGAAACCCUGAUGCAGCAACGCCGCGUGAGUGAGGAAGUAUUUCGGUAUGUAAAGCUCUAUCAGCCGGGAAUAGAAAAGAAGGUACCUGAAAAAGAAGCCCCGGCUAACUACGUGCCAGCAGCCGCGGUAAUACGUAGGGGCCAAGCGUUAUCCGGAUUUAUUGGGGUUAAAGGGCGUGUAGGCGGGAGCGAAAGGCAGAUGUGAAAACUCAGGGCGCAACCCUCAGCCUGCAGUUGAAACUGGGUUGCUGGAGUGCUGGAGAGGUAAUCGGAAUGCCGGGUGUAGCGGUGAAAUGCGUAGAUAUACGGAGGAACACCAGUGGCGAAGGCGGAUUGCUGGACAGUAACUGACGCUGAGGCGCGAAAGCGUGGGGAUCAAACAGGAUUAGAUACCCGAGUAGUC